GACGGGGGAUGCAAGUGUUAUCCGGAGUAAUUGGGCGUAAAGCGUCUGUAGGUGGUUUACCAAGUCUGUUGUUAAAAAUCAGGGCUUAACCCUGAUCCGGCAACAGAAACUAGUAGGCUGGAGUACGGUAGGGGCAGAGGGAAUUCUCGGUGUAGUGGUGAAAUACGUAGAUAUCGAGAAGAACACCAAUAGCGAAAGCACUCUGCUGGGCCGAAACUGACAUUGAGAGACGAAAGCUAGGGGAGCGAAAGGG
rnacentral:rRNA from 1 species